AUUGAACGCUGGCGGCAGGCCUAACACAUGCAAGUCGAGCAGAUGAGUGGAGCUUGCUCCAUGAUUCAGCGGCGGACGGGUGAGUAAUGCCUAGGAGUCUGCCUGGUAGUGGGGGACAACGUUUCGAAAGGAACGCUAAUACCGCAUACGUCCUACGGGAGAAAGUGGGGACCUUCGGACCUCACGCUAUCAGAUGAGCCUAGGUCGGAUUAGCUAGUUGGUGGGGUAAAGGCUCACCAAGGCGACGAUCCGCAACUGGUCUGAGAGGAUGAUCAAUCACACUGGAACUGAGACACGGUCCAGACUCCUACGGGAGGCAGCAGUGGGGAAUAUUGGACAAUGGGCGAAAGCCUGAUCCAGCCAUGCCGCGUGUGUGAAGAAGGUCUUCGGAUUGUAAAGCACUUUAAGUUGGGAGGAAGGGCAGUAAGUUAAUACCUUGCUGUUUUGACGUUACCAACAGAAUAAGCACCGGCUAACUUCGUGCCAGCAGCCGCAGUAAUAC
rnacentral:rRNA from 1 species